AGAUCAUUCCUGCCAGCCACGGUGGGAGGAAGAGACCAACAGUCCCCAGCAAACACACAAUGAUGAACAUCCAGAGGAAGAUCCUGUCGAUGACCAUUGCGACGUACUUCCAGUCUUCCUUCACCUGGGAACACAGAGGUACAGUGGCAACUUCAGAUCCUAAAACGUUUGUCAAGCACCAAACACGCUUUGAGCACAGCACAGCGACUCUGAAAACUCACCCUGAGUCUUCUCUUUCUUCAUCAGUCACGGAUGCACAACUAGAUUUUAUUUGAUACCUUGUGGGUGGUACAGAGAAAUCACGGUGUAUCAGAGGGAGAGAAUGUACAAUCCUGGCUUCUGUGACCAGUGCUGUGAUAUUUUAUUGAGCUAAGAGGAGAAUUCCUUGCAGACGACAUUCAGCUGAAGCAAUGCCAGCAAAGUGAGCUCUUCAACUACACCCUCAUUAUUUGCCUUGUGGACUGCUUGGUUCAGCCUUUAAAUCACUGAUAUUACUCCAGCUCUUUGGCUCAAUAAGCAGCUUUGUAAAAUGAGAAACAAGGCAUAUGCUGCAGAAUGUGUAUUUUCCCAAUAAUUUGUUGUCUGAGCAAAGAAUCUUAAAUUUCAGGAGCACCUGGGCAUUUUCAAAAGUGUAAAAAUCAGUUAAAUAUUUUAGUGCAAUGGAUAAUUUUAUUCCUUUUAAAUAUAGCAUCAAGUUAAGCAGGUUGUUACUAUCCAAUAGCCAAAACAAAACAAAAAAAUAAAGGUUCAUCCUGAAGGUUGUUGCCUUCUUGGGAGAAACCUUGUAAUUCUGUGAUUGUACAUCCAACUAUAGUUAGGAUGAAUAAAAGAAAUAGCGACCCUGGAAAUCGCAAGGAAUUCUCUCAUCCCGAGGGUCAGGUCUCGGUGGAUAACUCCCCUUUGCUGUACGUAUUUUCUAUCUAUUCAUCACUUGCUGAGAGUUGGAGUGAGUCCCUGAUGCUUAAAAUUCCUGGUGAGAAAGGCAAGAUCUGGAUGACUGCAUUUGUAAGAUUAAUGUAAAGAAAGUCUGAAAUAUAGCACCUGAUCUCCAACAGGAAAUCUGGAUUGGCCAAAUAAGUUUUUUUGAGUAUUUGUGCUGGUAUAAGUAAGUGCUGGAUCACAAGAAGUAAUUAAAUGAACUAGAUGAGUUUCUCUUUGAGAAAAGAAGGGGGAACGGGAGAAGAAGAACAACUUGGACAGUUCAACAGAAAUUUGCUUUUGAAUGUAAUGAUGUAUGCAUAAAAACUCAGCCCAUCUUGAAAAUGAUGGCUGGGAGUGCAUCAGAUGUUUGCAAAAUCAAUAUCCAGCUUCAGACUGAGAGCAGGGAAGGGUGAAAUUGGAAAUUAUGGAGCAACAAUGAAAAAAAAAGCAGGAGGAAAUGAAAAUUAUCUAGAUUUUUUUUAUUUCUUCCUGACAGUGCUGUAACAUUUCCCUGUGGUCCAGCACCUCACGUGGAGCGUCAUCUGCAGAGGCCUCUCUGACAACAUCUCUGCAGCUGUCAACAUCUGCCACCCCAACUUCUGAGCUGUAUUUUGAUUAGUUUUUAAGCUCAUUCAAAACUAUUUUCGGGAGAGGAUCAGAGACAGGAGCCAUCUGACUCCCCCACCCCCAAAUUCCUGAAAAAUAAGGGAAUCUGCUGCUAUUCCCUGGCCCAGCUUUGUGCAGGUCUGAGCAUGGGGACAGAGCAGUCCCGGGUGGUUUUACUGUACUUUGUUAAAAAUAAACGGGUGAGAUUAUCCCAUGUUUCCUCCUGCUCAGCUCUAUUCUCUCCUGGUUUAUUUUUAAGCUGUCUUAAAAUUCUUUUUAUCAGAGCAGGCUGGAGAUGUGCACAGGCAUGAGGACAAAAAGGUUUUCCACUCGGUGCUGUUGGGGUCUGGUAGUUGGGCUUGUGUGUGACAUGCACCUUGUUUUAAUUAAUUAAUUAAUUUCUAACAGCAUUUCUAUCAUAUGCUGGGACAAUUUGGUCUUGCCUUUUCCCCUGUGUACCAUGGUGCUUGUACUGUUCGCAGAUUAUUUUCUUUUUUUUUUUUUU